rnacentral:rRNA from 1 species
GACGAGGGGUCCUAGCGUUGUUCGGAAUCAUUGGGCGUAAAGCGUGUGUAGGCUGCCAUUCAAGUCAGUUGUGAAAUCCCCGGGCUUAACCCGGGAAGUGCUUCUGAUACUGUUUGGAUUGAGUACUGGAGAGGAUAGUAGAAUUCCUGGUGUAGUGGUGAAAUACGUAGAUAUCAGGAGGAAUACCGGUGGCGAAGGCGGCUAUCUGGCCAUGUACUGACGCUGAGACACGAAAGCGUGGGGAGCAAACAGG